GACGAACGCUGGCGGCGUGCUUAACACAUGCAAGUCGAACGGAAAGGCCCUGCUUUUGUGGGGUGCUCGAGUGGCGAACGGGUGAGUAACACGUGAGUAACCUGCCCUUGACUUUGGUAUAACUUCAGGAAACUGGGGCUAAUACCGGAUAGGAGCUCCUGCUGCAUGGUGGGGGUUGGAAAGUUUCGGCGGUUGGGGAUGGACUCGCGGCUUAUCAGCUUGUUGGUGGGGUAGUGGCUUACCAAGGCUUUGACGGGUAGCCGGCCUGAGAGGGUGACCGGCCACAUUGGGACUGAGAUACGGCCCAGACUCCUACGGGAGGCAGCAGUGGGGAAUAUUGCACAAUGGGCGGAAGCCUGAUGCAGCAACGCCGCGUGCGGGAUGACGGCCUUCGGGUUGUAAACCGCUGUCGCCUGUGACGAAGCGUGAGUGACGGUAAUGGGUAAAGAAGCACCGGCUAACUACGUG
rnacentral:rRNA from 1 species